GACGAACGCUGGCGGCGUGCUUAACACAUGCAAGUCGAACGGAAAGGCCCUGCUUUUGUGGGGUGCUCGAGUGGCGAACGGGUGAGUAACACGUGAGUAACCUGCCCUUGACUUUGGGAUAACUUCAGGAAACUGGGGCUAAUACCGGAUAGGAGCUCCUGCUGCAUGGUGGGGGUUGGAAAGUUUCGGCGGUUGGGGAUGGACUCGCGGCUUAUCAGCUUGUUGGUGGGGUAGUGGCUUACCAAGGCUUUGACGGGUAGCCGGCCUGGGAGGGUGACCGGCCACAUUGGGACUGAGAUACGGCCCAGACUCGUACGGGAGGCAGCAGUGGGGAAUAUUGCACAAUGGGCGGAGGCCUGAUGCAGCAACGCCGCGUGCGGGAUGACGGCCUUCGGGUUGUGAACCGCUGUCGCCUGUGACGAGGCGUGAGUGACGGUAACGGGUAAAGAAGCACCGGCUAACUACGUG
rnacentral:rRNA from 1 species